rnacentral:lncRNA from 1 species
GACAAGUAGUACGGUAAGUUACUCAAAUUCUGCUCUCUUGCCAAAUUAUGAAUGUGUGGUGAUACAUUCUGUGAGUCAAGAAAAGAACGGGCCUACCACAUUCAUGACAAUUUCUUUUUCCACAUUUCAAUUUAGACUUACUUUUAGCCUAUCAAGUCCUUUGACGAUAAAACAUAAUAACUGUAUUCUGAUUCUACUGCAGUCAGACAAGAAGUUAUUGCCUUCCUGAGUUGAUAUACUCACUCAUUUUUCCCAUACAGGAGAGGGGAGAGGUGUCAAAACAUACACAAUUCCAGGUGGGGAGAGAAUAACUCUUUAUUGGUAAUAAUGUGGAAGGGUUCUGAAAUGAGAGUCAAGAGGCUGAGUUCUAACAGUAUUUGUUUACACCUUCCAACAAUAGCACUAGUAACCAGUGAGACAAUCCAACUACAGAAAUUUCCUUAGCUUGACCUCUGGCCACAGGCCAUGAUGCUUCAUACAGGCAUAUCUGACCUGUUAUCUGAAAGAUUCAGAACGCUCUCACAUAAUAGGCUCACCUUUAUUUCAUACUGCAAAAUGGAUGAAAAGAAAUGAUUCCAAUUACUUACGAAUGGAUGUAGUUCCUCACAUUUACCCAGAGAAAAAUUGCCUUAUUGGACCAGAUAAACUUCCCAGGCAUAGAUCUAUAAGAGAUGAAAAAGUGAAUGAGGCAGCAGGAUGUAGUUAUACGAGUAUUGGAACCAGAAAGACUUGGAUUGAAUUAUCGUUACUAUCAUGGAGACUCAAGCUGACAGUGGCAAUAAGUCAUGCAUACAACAAAAUGAAUACAAUGUCAAAAGUAGCACAUUUUCAGUACCAUGUGACUAUGACAGCAAGUAAAUGCUUAAAAUUUGUUGAAGGGAGACCUUGUAGUGUGUGUAUGUGUGUGUAUGCACGUGUGUGUGUGCAUGUGUAUGUGUGUGUGCUUACAUUUCAUUAUUUUACAAGUAUAUGCAUAAGUCUAUCUAGCAUGAUCAGCCUGAGAAAGACACCCAUGUCUUUUAAAGUCCACUUGGUCUUAUCAAGUUAUAUACACCAUUUCUACAAUUUUGCUAUAGUUAAAAGAAA